rnacentral:rRNA from 1 species
GACGGAGGGGGCAAGCGUUGUCCGGACUCACUGGGCGUAAAGGGUGCGUAGGCGGUCUUGUGCGUCGGCGCUGAAAUCACACGGCUCAACUGUGUGGCGCGUGCCGAUACGACGAGACUUGAGGCUCUGAGAGGGUGGCGGAACUCCUGGUGUAGUGGUGAAAUGCGUAGAGAUCAGGAAGAACACCCGUGGCGCAAGCGGCCACCUGGCAGAGUUCUGACGCUGAGGCACGAAAGCGUGGGGAGCGAACCGG